rnacentral:lncRNA from 1 species
GACCCAAUUGUUGGGUAUUUUAAACGCAAACAGAAAAAUCCGCAAGCGCACGGAUACCGAUGUAGCUUUCACCCGGGAGUAUUCCAGAGUAUCGAUUUUCCACAGAGAACGUGAGUGUACUAAUUAAGAUCCAAGAUCGCCCAAGGAUAAAUAUAUGAAUAUUUUUGGUGGGAAGAGAGGAAGUUUCCUGAGAGUUCUCUAGUUGAUCUAAGAAUCAAGAAUUACUUCAAGAUUAUCUAUUUCGGGACAUCAGAACACUAACCACAGAAAGAGAUGAGAAGGGGGCUAGGAAGCUCCGACUACGGUCCUACAAACACCGAUCCGAACGAGGUGGAAUACGUCGACCGUUAGGGCUGUCACUAUCCUAAGGCUACCACAACAAUCCGCAGGAUUGGGUGCAAUUCCAGGUAAUUGCAAGACUAAACACCACGUCUAAUCUAUUAAUUACUACUCUAAUGUUUGAAACACUAGAGCACUUGAUGCAAGCGGGAAUCCAAUAAAUAACUUGAAUGUAAAUAAAAGUAAUUAUAGAACUCAGGAGUUAUGAAUUGAAGAACCUGGAGAACGAUGAAGAACGAACGAGAUGCUGCAAAAGUAUAAUGUUGAGGAAGAUCCGACAGAUCCGGCUCCUCCUCCGCUCUCCUCUUCUCUCUCCCUAUUUUCUAGAUUACAACUAGAACUAACUAGAACUAGAACUAGAGGAACUAGAACUAGAACUUGAUGAACUAGAACUAGAUCUAGAUGAACUAGAGGUAGAACUAGAAGAACUAGAGGGAUCCUCUCUACUUGGAUGAAGAAUUGAAACCCUAACUUUGACUCUGUAGAAGAGGUAUGAUCUCCAGGGGCCAGGGGGUCUGGUUUUAUAGUCCCUUCAAGUGAAUCUGGGCCGUCGGAUCAAACCGACAUUGAUCGCACGGUUUUCCUUGAUCCUUUAGGUCGGUGGAGCAUAAUCCGCGAAACGUGUCCUGAUUGGACACUGUAGCUUGGCGGGCGCCCAGGAGAGUUGGGCGGGCGCCCUGCCUCCAAGCCCGAUUUCCUUCCCGUUCGUUCCCGUGGCUUCUGGAGUCUUCUAGAUGAUAGAAAAUUGCGCGGCACGUUAAUAUCUCUAUGUAAACCCGACGUGUGGGCCUUUCUUCCAUAUUUCCUGAUAACCCCCUGCAGAAAUAGACAAACACCAAAACUCGUGGAAUUCUGUCAGAUAAAACCCUAAGUCUAGGUGUUGGUUGCAUUUGGAUCCUUUUCUAUGAUUAGUUGAUGGUUAAAUAUGAGCAUUAAGGACCGUCAACAAGCUCCCCCAAGCUUAACCUUUGCUCGUCCCUGAGCAAAGAUGAACUCAAGAGUUUCUGCAGUGGUUUCAUAACUUAAAGAUACACAUGCGUUUAAACAAGAUUUCAUCUCUGGUUAGAGUAAACUGUUAAGACUUAAAACUUACUCAUUUACCUUUCACCAUGGGACUUGUAACCAUCACUUUUGUCUUGAGUAGUUAAAAGAUAGAACAGUCUACUCAAGCACUAUGUCUCUUGUUCUUCGAUUAACUAUAGCUCUGGAGUUUUUUGCAGAUUUUCAAAUAAAACUCAGAGAUUCCUUGUAUGACUCUCUCUAGUCUCUCUUUUGUGGUAUUUCUAGAUCCUUACCAAGGCAGUAAUGGUGUAUGCGUUCUCUCAAAGUAUGUGGUAUUUGUAGUAUAAGGCAUAGUGACAUUGCCUUCUCUCUCACCCUACUCUAAUAAGGCUUUGAUAUCUGGAGCUCAUAGGUGGGAGACAGCUAAUACAUACUUACAAGACAUUUAUUGCAUAGUCAAACCAUGGAUCCAGAAGAACAAGUCAAUAAGUCAAAUCAAGAUGUGCAUGUGUGGCGAAUGAAUAGUAUAUGGUGAUGAUGGUGAUAACAAUGGUGAAAGUCUAAUUCUACUUGUGCUCUUUUGAGGGGAUACAUACCUUUCUUGCUCUUUUGAAACUUUCAGGGAGAAUGAGAUGCUCUGUAUUUUCUUUUUCUUUUUUUUUCUUUUCUCUCAGGUGGGUAUCUUGUACCCCUAAUUCUACUGUCGGACACUUGUCCAUUUUUACCUCUCGUCUCACUUUUUCUUCUUUUUUUUCUUUCGAGGUUCCGGGCACUUGCCCCUUUUUAUUUCCUCGUAUUCUUCUUCUUUUUUUUUCUCUUUUUUUCUUUAGAGCACUCAUCUCAUGAGAUAAUAUAGCAAGUGGUAGUAACAAGAUAACUUGAGCAGUUAUUUCACAGGGAAAAAAUAGAAAUAUUUUUGGCUAUUCUCUCCCGGAUUAGGAGUAGAAUAUUUUUGGGUGGUUCUGGAGAUGGAAAUGGGUAUAUGUGGAUGGUACUUCCAGAGUAGAAGUAGCAUGUAUGAGUGAACGUGCAAGUGAAUCUUGACUUAACCACAUGACAAGCUCCUAAGGGUCUACACAGCUUGACCACACUCAAUGCUCAUAAGCAGUAAAAAGUAAAUGUGUGGCUCAAAGUCUAGCAAGCAUGUAUAUAUGGCUGUGGUAGGAAUUUAAACUCUCAUCAUACAGGAACUCAUCAUGUGAUAUUUUAAAGAUUUUCAAAGAUAAAAUUCUCCAGAAUUCUAGCAUCUCUAGGAACAGAUAAACAGCAGCUCAACCUUCCCAUAUCAUAUCCGUUAACGACUUAGACUUCAGAUCAAGUACUCUUCCCACAAGUUCAGGUUUAGAGCAAAUCUUAAUUAAUAACAGUGAUACCUAAACUUGAGAGAGAUUUCAAUUUUGAGAACUAGUCAUGGCAGAGCAACUAUUCAUCUUUCCAUGUGAAAGCUUAUCAUGAGCGUUCAUAGCAAAUUUUUAUUUAUUUAUUUAUUUAGCAAACUAAGCAAAGAUAUAUAUAUAAGCACAAAAUCUUUAUUUGGGUUUUUAUGAUUAUGCAUCUUUUUAUUAUUUGAGUAAAAUAUAAACGUGAGUAGAAUACUUAGCUGGAUAAAUGGAGGUGCUCUCCCCCAAGCUGGAUUUUGACGUAAUUCCUUUUGAUGUAGCAGGUGGCGGAGGUGUAUUUGAAUGUCGGCAGCACCCUGACAUUGAUUAGGAUGUCCUCCGUCUACUAGUCUUCUUUGAUCCUUUAAUUCUGUGGAGCUCAAAUAGACAACAAAGCUUUGUGGAACUAGUUAAGUGUUAGCAUAAAUAUCUAGCCUUUAUCAUGUUGAGCCUCCUCAAUAAAUGUUACUCUCUUUAGUAGGAUCAUAAAUUUAUUUUUAUAUUUUCAUUUUUAUAGGACAGGAAUAUAUUUAUUUAUUUUUACGCCACCACAAUGAAUGUACUUAUGGGUUUUAUGCCAUGAGCAUACUCACAUGGGGCUUACUAUUUUUAACAUUUUUAUUUUCUUUUCAAGAUAAUAUGAACCUGAUUAACUAAGCAAACUAUUUUAAAAUAAUUGAAAGGAAAAAGAUAAUUACCAAAUUUACCUCUUGGCAAAGCGUUCGGUGUUUUUAAGUCCUCCGAACGGGACUCUCCGUUUUCUCAGUCGUCCUGGGAUUCGCUGGAUGGCGUAGUCGGUGGUUCCGGCGGCGCCUUCUCUUCAUGUAUAACUAUCUUCUCUCUCCACACUUGACUCGGUGCUACGGUCUCCUCAGGACAGUUCUGUUCAAGCUGUAUGUCGUCAGACAUUACAACUUCUCCUUCAUAGUCUACCCAUCCGUCCUUGAUGAUUUGUUUCCUCUGGUUGCGGUCGCAUCCUCGUCUUCUUGUCCUGACCUGCUUAGAGUCUUUAACUAUAUAGUUAAGGUCAGUAAAAUAGCAGCGUACCUACUCAGAGGGGAAGUGCAUGUGGACUUCUCCGGUUCCAAUGUAGAUGAUUGCUUUAACAGUGCUAAGGAACGGUCUUCCAAGGAUGAUGGGUGGAUCGUACUUGUCUUCUCCCAUGUCAAUAACCUAAAAAUCAUCUGGAGCUGAAUGUAUGACGGUUUUAGGGGCAUGGUUCCGAAUAGGAGCUGAUAGGUGACUGGCAGCCAUUAUGUUGACACCUGACCCGGUGUCGCAAAGCAUCUUCUGGAAGUUGUAUCCAUCAAUGGAGCACUGGAUGCUUGGCAUACUUGGGUCAUCCUUUUUGGUUAGGAACGGUGACUUAAGUCGACGAUCUUGACCUCCUUGAACUGCAGUGACCAUCUUUGCUGACUUGGUCCACAUUUGCUUGUUCCUGUUCCUCCUGUUGGUCCUCUUCCUUGUUUCAUGUCAGGAUUGCUCUGAGAUUUGUGUAGUCUUGUUCUUGAAGGAAAACGUCUCCGUCCUUCCCUUGAUGUAGAAACUGAUCUUGACAGCACUAGCGUAGAUGACAGCUCUCGAGGUGUUCAGGAAUGGCCUCCCUAGGAUGAUGGGUGCCCUCUCAUCAGUAUCAGUCUCUAUCACCACGAAGUCUGCUGGAGCGUAUAAGGUACCAACUCGGACAUAGAGGUUCUUCAAUAUUCCCUUUGGGAAACUUAGUGUCUGAUCUGCAAGCUGCAAACACAUGGUUGUUUCUAGGAAAGGAUAUGUAAAGAAUUUGUCAUAGAGUAUUCUGAGCAUAAUGUUGACGCUGGAGCCAAAGUUGCAGAGUGCUUCUAGGAAGUCCACCAUGCUGAUGGAGAUCGGGAUGACGGGACGUCCUGGAUUGUAUCUCUUGACCGGCAGAAGGUCAGUAAUUACUUCCACAACAGGGUUACUCUAGUAGUUACGUCCUCAAGCAUCUCAGUGCAGUGAUUGCCUGAGUGUCCAGUAUCUCCAGUGUGUUUGUGCUCAUAGAUCUAGGUUCUUCACUUGGUGGAGUCUUGUGAAAGCUUUCCUUUCUUAUCGGUUGUGCAUCGUGUUUGUGGCACACUCCAGGGAUCAUCUCUUGUGAGCUAUGUCUUCCUUGUGUAAAUUGUUAAACUUCAUGUGUGUCUCUCUUUGUCUCCAAUGUGAGUUUAUCUCAGGACUUUCCAGGUCGAUAGUGAAAGUUUUCCUGCAGGGGUUAGUCCAACAAAAUAUCCAAUAUCUACUAUAGCAUACUAUCGGCUCAAAGAUCAACCUAGACACCAUGUAUAAUUUGAUUUAGGAGGGCAUUUUAACUUAAGCAUCAUGCUUAAUUUAAACUCCCUUGGAUGUAAGAUCAUCAGCCCUAAACUAAGCACCAUGCUUAAUUAAGAGAUAAAUGAAACUACUCCAAGCCUAGACAUAUACUAAAACAAAUAAAGGUAGCAUGAGAGCAUUUAUAGAGAUCUACUCAAGUGGAGAUGAAGUAGUGUGAUUAGUAUUUAACUAAUUGAGCAUGUCUCAAAGGUUGGGACAACCAACAUAGCAACAUGGCAAAGGAUGUUUUUAUGUAAAGUACUCCCCCAAGCUUGAAUUUUGCAAAAUUCAAGUUUGGAUGAAUUUAAUUCAAUGUUGUAUGAUGGUUGGUUGGACAUACCUUGUGCUUGUCAUUCAUCCGAUCUUCUUGCUCCAAUCCUGAAAAGGUUAGUGACAAGAAUACCCGAAGGAAUUUUUUUACAAUUGUCCUUAUAUGCUAAACACACAAGGUAAUGUUACAAAUAAUUAAAAGCUCAUGUUACGAUCUUAUCAGUGCUUGUUUUAGGACACUAAGCUUGUCCUUUGGGAAACCAUCAAUUUAUGUCGGCGAAGUGGUUUCCCCUCCAACGCUGACCUAUAUCAAGAUCAAUUCAACGAGAUCUACAAUAUUUAAUAUAGACAUAUGCAUCGACAACCGCCCUUUUAAAGUUUUUAUAAAUAGAAAGGAAGAGGGGGUUGGAGAUCUCGAAUGUGGUGAUGUUGGAGAGACCAAUGGAUUGUGAAGAUGUUGCAUAUGAGCAUGGAGUAAAUGAAGUGGCUAUGAAAUAAAUUCCAUGCUCAUUAAUGCUUAGAGUGAAAUCCAUGUGGUGUGGUGAAAAUGAUAAGGUGAGUGUGGUAAAAAGGAAAAAGGAUACACGGACGACUUGGUUCGAAACUAGCACAGCUACCGUUCCCCGGCAACGGCGCCAGAAAGCUUGUUGGGUAUUUUAAACGCAAACAGAAAAAUCCGCAAGCGCACGGAUACCGAUGUAGCUUUCACCCGGGAGUAUUCCAGAGUAUCGAUUUUCCACAGAGAACGUGAGUGUACUAAUUAAGAUCCAAGAUCGCCCAAGGAUAAAUAUAUGAAUAUUUUUGGUGGGAAGAGAGGAAGUUUCCUGAGAGUUCUCUAGUUGAUCUAAGAAUCAAGAAUUACUUCAAGAUUAUCUAUUUCGGGACAUCAGAACACUAACCACAGAAAGAGAUGAGAAGGGGGCUAGGAAGCUCCGACUACGGUCCUACAAACACCGAUCCGAACGAGGUGGAAUACGUCGACCGUUAGGGCUGUCACUAUCCUAAGGCUACCACAACAAUCCGCAGGAUUGGGUGCAAUUCCAGGUAAUUGCAAGACUAAACACCACGUCUAAUCUAUUAAUUACUACUCUAAUGUUUCAAAGACUAGAGCACUUGAUGCAAGCGGGAAUCCAAUAAAUAACUUGAAUGUAAAUAAAAGUAAUUAUAGAACUCAGGAGUUAUGAAUUGAAGAACCUGGAGAACUAUGAAGAACGAACCAGAUGCUGCAAAAGUAUAAUGUUGAGGAAGAUCCGACAGAUCCGGCUCCUCCUCCGCUCUCCUCUUCUCUCUCCCUAUUUUCUAGAUUACAACUAGAACUAACUAGAACUAGAACUAGAGGAACUAGAACUAGAACUAGAUGAACUAGAACUAGAUCUAGAUGAACUAGAGGUAGAACUAGAAGAACUAGAGGGAUCCUCUAUACUUGGAUGAAGAAUUGAAACCCUAACUUUGAUUCUAUAGAAGAGGUAUGAUCUCCAGGGGCCAGGGGGUCUGGUUUUAUAGUCCCUUCAAGUGAAUCUGGGCCGUCGGAUCAAACAGACAUUGAUCGCACGGUUUUCCUUGAUCCUUUAGGUCGGUGGAGCAUAAUCCGCGAAACGUGUCCUGAUUGGACACUGUAGCUGGGCGGGCGCCCUGCCUCCGAGCCCGAUUUCCUUCCCGUUCGUUCCCGUGGCUUCUGGAGUCUUCUAGAUGAUAGAAAAUUGCGCGUCACGUUAAUAUCUCUAUGUAAACCCGACGUGUGGGCCUUUCUUCCAUAUUUCCUGAUAACCCCCUGCAGAAAUAGACAAACACCAAAACUCGUGGAAUUCUGUCAGAUAAAACCCUAAGUCUAGGUGUUGGUUGCAUUUGGAUCCUUUUUUAUGAUUAGUUGAUGGUUAAAUAUGAGCAUUAAGGACCGUCAACACCAAUCAUGUUAGUUUGCUUUAGUUAGGUUGAUUGUUUUAUCAUGAUGAUUUGGCUCUUUGUAAUAGGUGUAGCUUCAGUGAAUAUCAGGGAAGAUCCCUAUUAAGUGGGUAGAGUUGUCUCACCCCAAAAUUUCUAUUUUGGGAUGUGACAUAGAAAAUAUUAAAUGACAUCAAUUGAUUUUAUCAUUUUUCUAAAAUUUCCCAACUUUAGUUAUUCUGUUGACAUUCUAGAUAGUGGAUGUCACACCCAUAUUUUAAGAACAAAAUAGGAUGCAUAAAAGACUCAUAUGUGCCCCAGAAACAGUCACACAAAUAAGUAGACAAAUCUCAAAUGUACCAUUGCAGUGUUUAUUACAUAACAGGACGAUAAUAAAUCACAUAGUCUUAUACAAUAAUAAUAAUAAUAAUAAUAAUAAUAAUAAUAAUAAUAAUAAUAAUAAUAAUAAUAAUAAUAAUAAUAAUAAUAAUAAUAAUAAUAAUAAUAUAAUAAUAAUAACAAUAAAUAACGCUCUCAACGGAAGCUUCACACAGGUAUAGACAUUGACUGGUUGACUUCAAACCUAAUACUCAUAUCGAUAGUCCUUAUUCCAAUCAUCUUCAUUUGCAUAACCUGGGGUGUUGGGAAAUUGCAAGAGUGAGCACAUAUCGUACUCAACAAGUAUAACCAGGGGUUCAUGAGGCUCAAAUAGCUGACACUGGUUUAACUGCAUUUAGCUUUUAAUUAGGGAUAGCAUGUUCAUAAUUAAAUAGCAAGAGUCAAGGUAGCACAAGUAAUCCAAUAAUCACAUGAUCAAAUGUAAGCAUAAUUAACUCAUAGCAUAAAGAUAACCAAAUGAACAUAAUAACUUAACAAGCUCAUCAUCUUUAGUAUAAGAACCCCAAGGCCGCUCAUAACCGUGAGCACGGCUAGUAUACUAGUUUUAACACUCUGCAGAAGUUUUACAUCUUUACCCAUGAGUCAUGAUUUGCCCUUUCGCCCAAGGUAGCUAAUCUCUUAACCCCCUUCCUAGGGAGAUUGGCAGGGAUCACUAUGAAGCCUUUCAAAAGUUCGUCUAACAUGUUAGGGCCGCAAGAUUUCCCGGGCGCGUAGAUAUAGAGCUCCCCUUCCAAUGGCACAAUGACUCGCAGCCUAUACACAUAAAGACAGAGGCCACACUAUACCCAAAACGACAAGCCCCUCUAGCGCCCUUUUGGGUAACCGCUAACAAGCUAGAAAAUGUCUUCAUACUGAGCUAAAGCCAGAGCAAUUAUAGCCCUCUUGGUUGCACUGUUAUCCCGAUGAUCACUUAUAGACAAGAUCUCAUAUGGUUAUCAGUCAUCUUUCAACGUUCAUUGCAUAGCUAUUAAUCAUCUUACAAGAUCAUGGAUUACAUCAAGCACUAGCAUAACUACACCAAAAUGCAUAUCAAAUAGGUAACAAGGAAUACAGGUAACAAUCAUCUAUGAUUUUGCUAAGGUCGACAAGGUAGACACAUGCAUAUGAUAUAUAUAUAUAUAUGUAUUUAUAAGUGUGUAGGUAACAAGAAUGAUUCCAAGUUAUACUUGCCUUGAUCAAAGCUCUCCUGAGCCUGCUGCUGGUCGUCAAAAGCUUGGUCUUGCUCACCAACGUACGACUCACCGUCUAUCCCUAAACAUCAAUCAACAACACACAAUCCAAUAUAGACAAUCAUACACAAAGCAAACAAGCUGUAGUUAAAACAUUACACCAACAGUGAUAAAUCAAAGAUAAAAGUUUAUGAAAAUAUUCUAAACAGCGCUACGAUCACACAAACGUAAAGUUCACGAAAAUCGGAAUUAAAACGUAGAAGUUAUGAAUUUUCUAAGAUUUCCUAUAAAUAAAUAAAUAAUUAAAUGCUACUACGAAAUUAAAAAGUUUCAAAACAGAGAAAUAAUACAUCUAACAUGUAGAGCUCGUAAAUACAAAUCUAACAAAAUUUUAAUGGACAAAAACGGAGUUAAAACGAAUAUUUUAUAAGCAAAACAAAUCCAGUGGUAAUUCUGUAAAUAUAUGAAAGCAUAUUUUGAACUUAGCCGACAAGAAUACGCCUUCCAAACUGAAAAGCGUAAAACCGCCAAUGCGCCAUGGACCGCGGGUUUGAAUCUCAAGAAUCCCAGGGACUCUUUAGAAAAAGAGGCAGCGAAGGGGUAUGUUUCUUUCUGGGGCGUUGAACUUCGAUCGGACGGCUCGGACGCAUCAGGGGGGAUGACAGGCGGCGGCCGGCCGACUCCCUGUACUCCGGCGCGGUGGUGCGCCAUGGGCGCCACUCGGAGCUCACCGGCGUUCUUCAAUCUCAUGAAUUUGUGCGCCAAAAACCGAACUAAGGACAUGGGGACAUGGAGAAGCUCACCGCGGACCCGCUGGAGUGCUUCGCUGGCGCCGAAGUGCAAGGGAAAGAGCUCGCGACGCACGGCGGCUGGCUCCCUCUCGGCGAGUUUCAAUCAUGCGCGGCUAGGGCUUGGUUUUCUAGGUUUUUGCGGCACGGGUGGAAAAACGAGAUGCGGGGUGAAGCUAAAGGCCUUUAUAGGGCUCGGGGAAGUCAAAUCCCGCAUAAAUCGGGAUAGGGAAGGAUUUGGUGGCGUCCCGGUUUGAGUCCGGCUCGGUGACGCCCGAAAGAAGAAGGAAGCGGGGUGAGACGCUGGCGUGCGGGCCCGUGCUGUCAGCCAGAGGUGCGCUGGGUCCCAGCCGUCAGUGGCAGCAAGGAAGGAGAGGGGAGGGGCGCGCCUGCUGGCCGCGCUCUGGGCCGCCGGUUGGGCCGAGCGAGGGGGAAGAGGGGUGCUGGGCCGUGCGCGGGGGAGAAGCAGGCCAGGGGGAUAGGGCUGGCUGGGGUUUUUCCUUUUUUAUUCUUUCUUUUCCAAAACCUUUUUUUAAUAGGAGCUUGAAUGCAAUUAAUUUCCAACCAAAAGCAACAAGCAUAAAAUAAAAUAUGCUCCAGCAUGAAUGCAUAAACAAGUUCCUAACCCUAUGAUAAAUUUUAAUUUCUACAAAAAUUAAUUAAAUGCUAAGUUAAAUGCUCACAAAAUACUUAAAUAAAUCCAAUUAAUUCCUAUUAGUUAUGUCGGUGUGUGGACUCAGGGUCCAAGCACUAAAAAGUAAUAAGUCUGCGUGUCCUCCUAAACCCGAAUGUUGAUGCAAGGGAACACAGGGGAUUUAUACUGGUUCGGGCUUCAAAUGCCCUACGUCCAGUGAGGGGAUCGGAGUUUGUAUUGCCUUGCACCUGAGAGUGCUUGUAGUAGGGGUGUACAAGCUGGUUGCGAGAGAGGGCUAAGUCCCAAGUCGGGACUUUAGGGAGUAAAUGGAGGGGAGUGCACUACUUGGGUGAAGAGUGUUGUUUGUGAUCUGUGUGUGUUGCCGUGUCUUUGAUAGGUGCCCUGCCUCCCCUUUUAUAGCCGCAAGGGGUAGCAGGGUUUUUAUAUGUGUAAGUUUGUGAAUUAUCUCUGGUGAGUGUAGUAGUGACGGUGCAGGUCCUGUGGAGAUCGGCCACUUCGUCCUUUGGGUAUGGCUUGACGGCGUGGUCACUCCUAUGGAGGGUCGUUGAGCCCUGUUGAUGUUGUGGUGGUCGGGUCGGUUAUACUGCAGCGUGUCCUGCAAUAGUAAGGUAAUGUUAGUCUAGAUGUGGUCAUAGUGGCAGGGGUUAACCCUCCCCAUACCUCCUUUUAUUGUAAGGCAAUGCCCCACAGUGAAAGAGGUAAGGUUCCACAGUGACUCGAGUUGUUGAAAUAGUAGCCGGCAUGCCCUGCUGCAGCGUGGGAGGCACGGUGCACGUCACAUCGGAGGUACGACCAUCGUGUGCUGGUAGCCUGGCUCCAAGGCCGAGGCUCGAGUGAAGCACAGAUUGCGCUCGAUGCUGAGGUUUUGGUAAAGGCGAAGAUCUCGUCCGAGACUCAGGGCUCGGGCGAGACGGAGCUUGCGUUUGAGGCUAGGGGGUCAGGCGAGAUGGAGCUUGCAUCUGAGCCCAGGCGGUCGGGCGAGACGGAGCUUACGCCCGGGCCGAGGGGGGUCGGGCGUGAUGGAGCUUGCGCUCGAGCCUGAAGGGGUCGGGCGCUCGUCCUACUUCUUUUUGCCGCUUUUUGUCCCCUUAGUCUGGGUAUCCCUUUUUACGGUACCCAACAGUAGCCCCCGAGCCUAUGGAGCAGCUGGAAUGCUCCUCCAGAGGUUCCUUCUAAGAGUUGAUGGUUGGAUUAAGGCUUUUAUUUCCUCCGGAGGGUGCGCGCGAGCGCACCCGCCGGGUGUAGCCCCCGAGCCUUUGGAGGAAUGGUGGCAUUCCUUCAAAGGCUUUUACACCUUGAUGUCAUUGUAGGGAGUUUUUUUCGGGGAUAGGGUACAUGUUCUUUACAUGCAGGGCCUAUUACCCCGCGCGGGUGAAGCCCCCAAGCCCUUUUCCCUUAAGGGUCGAUCAGGGUCUUUCUCGACUUGAUUUUACGCCCCUCAUUCAUCCUUUCGCUAGGAGGAGGGAUGGGUGGCAUCGUACUAUCCUCGGUGGGUGAGUAUCGACGUUCCUAGGGAGUUGCUAGCAGGUAGAUCCAAGUGGAUGUCCGAGACCCGUUCGAUAGGGGUCGGCUUGUGGCCCUAUGGGCACAUCUCAAAAUACCCAAGGGCAGUUACGGUGGAUGUCGGAACCAUCCGAUAGGUUCUGAGGGCUCGAUGCCUCCCUCGAUGGGAUCCCACUCGUGCAACACCUGCAUGGGUCUUGGAUACGACUAGUAAGAUGCGCCGAGCCUCUGUGGGGCUCAGACCAUGGGCCUCUAUCGUGCUCACCCUCAGUCAUCCUUUGCUCUGUUAUCCUAAGGCGAAUGUUCGAACCCACUUGGUGGGUCAGUCUCGCAACCUCUGGAAUGUAAGUCGCCGUGGCCUGGGGAUUUUUACCUUAGGAGGUGUCGGCUCGGUCGUGGCAGGGGGGUCGAGUGCCGCUUGCCCUGGAAGGAACCACCCUGACUCGACCUUUAGGGCGCUCCUUUUGAGACAACCCAUAUUGAGAGCCGGAACGACCAUGCCAUUGCGCCUGAGUUAGACAAGACAUUCUGCCUACGAAUUUAAUGCGCGUGUGGGCGUGGUUGGCGUGAGAAUCGGAAAAGGAUGGAUGCUUUGGUUACCUCACCUAGUUAAUGAGGCGGCCGGCGGUUCCUCUUUCCUUCCCUAAUCUGCUGCGUGGGAGACGGACUGCAGUACGCUUUUUCUAUAAAAGCCACCGCGAGGGUCUUUGGUUUUUCCUCUACUUGCCUCUGCCUCCGAACAAUCUUGCCCCCAAGCCCCCUGCUACCGCCUUAUUGACACCACCGUGCUAAUGCAAGCACCCAUCUCCACCUGCAGCCAUGGCCGGCGACGACAUGUGGCACCCAUGCAAUGUCACCGAGGCAACGCUGGAGGCCUGUGUGAAGGGUGGACUUCUCCGUCCUAUCAUGGAUGAGGGGAUGCCGGAGUGGAUCAUGCCCCCGGUGAACGACAGGGAGCCAAACCCGCCUCUAGGCUAUGUGGUUUCCUUCCUGACUUUCCUAGACCGAGGGUUCGGGAUUCUGGCCUACCGAUUCAUGUGGGCUCUUGCGCACUACUAUGAAGUAGAGCUGCACAAUUUCAACCUGAAUUCGAUCAUGCAGGCGGCUGUCUUCGCCAUGGUGUGCGAGGGGUACUUGGGGAUUCCUCCCCAUUGGUACCUCUAGCUCCACCUAUUCAAGGUGGAGAUGUCUUCCUGCAACGAGGGCAGGGAGAAGAGGCCCUUAAGGGCCGGCGACUGCACGCUCCAACGCAUACAUCUAAAGCAUCAUGCCGUCGUCGAACCGGGGGUGGCAGAACGGGUGGUUCUACCUCCAGAACGACCACGACCUUCUUCCGGAGUACACCGGGAAGAUGGUGCUCGAGUGCCUCGCAAAAUGGGGGUGGGGUGCUCCCGCAUCGGAGCAGAAAAGGCUGGACCCCCUUCUCGAGGCCCUCGUGAAGCUUUGGCACGUGGGGGUCACUGCGGCCACGGUGGCGGUCGCCUUCCACAAGCGAAGUCUCCUGCCGCUGGCGCAGCAGGUGGUGCACAUGUGGGAGAUGACUCGUGACACUCCUUGGGCCGGGACGCGGAUGCUGGAGGCGCCAGUGUCUCCUACAGAGAUCGACACCCAAGUCUUGAGGACGAUAUCCUCGGAGUUGAAGAACUAUCGGGUGGUGCCGAUGUGUCCCAACAGGGACUACAUCUCUCUGGUAAGGCACCUCCAUCUUUGUUCCCGCUUCAUCGUCCCCUUAUUCGUUCCGACCUUUAUUUAGUCUGUCAUUUGCUCGUAGGGAAUGGGCAUUGUCAGGUAUGCCCUGCCCCUGGUCCUGGAAGAUCAAGAGAUCCGGGCCUAGAACCGGUCCAUGAAUGAAGAGCAACAGCGCUAGAAGAAUGAGAAGAAGAAGAAGAAGGCAAAGAAGGCAAAGACAGCAGACGCCUCUGCCAAGCGCCGCCGCGAGGCCGAGAAGGCGGGGCUCCACGAGCUCGAAUCUUCCGAGGCCUCAGUCUAGGAGGUUGAGGGCAGGGAAGACUCACACUGGCUGAAUGAACUCCUCGAUGAGGAGGAGGAGGAUGAAGAGGUCCUCCAGUCGAUGAGGGGACAGAGGCCCCAGGAGGGUCAUAGGUUCUAGGGGGUGCAGAGGGCACCCCCUACAUCAUCAUCGACGAUGGAGGGGAUGAAGCCCCUUGAGGGGGAUCGGUUCCACCGGAUCCCCAAGAAGGGGAGAUGGCGUCGGGCGGAGAGCCUGAGGUGCCCAUGGUGUCAAAGGGCGCAACCGAACCUCGUCCAAAGACGGAGGCAGAGGUGGAGGGCUCAGCGGAGGCGCCAAAGGCCGGAACAGCCGUCGGGGCCCUCGCGACUCCAGGAGCGGUGAUGAGUGUCCGCCCGACCACCCGCGGCGCCCAAGGAGCGCCAAGCUCCUAGAAGAGCGCUGCGCCCCGGGCAAGGUAUGUGCUUGUUCUUGAUUUCUCUUUAAUUUUUGUUUUUCUCUUUCUUCUUAUCUUUGUCCUCCUUCUGCCAGCCGGAAGUAGAAGAUGGCAUCGGUGGGGCUGGUGCCCCUGAAAGCCGUUAAGAGGGGGGCACAAUCGACCCCUAGGUCGGCAAGGCCUAGGUCGCCGCCCCCCUUGAAUCGAAAAUAAAGAGAACCCCCAAGAGGGGAUGGGGGAGGAGUCGAGGGAGAAGACGUCGUACCCCCAGACGAAGGAGGUGGAUGCGCCAAGGUCCCAAGAGCCGGAGGAGACGAUCCUGGCUCUUGGGGCCGUUCCCCCAUCUGGAGAUGUCGACCUAGGGGGCGCGUCCAGGCCUAGGCAGACCGAGGGGAGACAUGCCGAGAUGGCCCUUAGCACGGUGCCCCCAGCAAGGCCCCAUGGAAAUGGCCUGGCCCAACCAGAGGCCCCCGCGAGAGAAGGAGGGGACGUCACGCCCUGGGGCAAGGCCCUUGUGAUCUGGCCCGACCUCGAAGAUCCCGAGGGGAGGGCCAGGUUUGUCCUGGAUGACCCGUCAGAGGCUUACCUCUGGCAAGGUCUUGAGGAAUGCGGGCGCGCUAAUGUCAAGGCGAUCAAUCGAGUCCGAGCUCGUGAGUUGAGACAUGUACAAGCUUGCCUAGGUAAGAUCACCUCCCCUUUUUCCGAGGCGUAUUUUAUUUAUAUCUUUCCAUUGAUCUUAUGUGUGGUACUCUAUCUUGUAGGCGCUCAAGGCUCUGGCAGAAGUGCUCUGGGCUUGAGACCAAGGCUCAGGAAGCUUGGGAAAAGGUCGCCCCUCUGGAGAAGAGGGUUAGCGACCUUGUCUUGGAAUCUCAAGAGCGGAACACUGCCACCGAGAGAUACAAGGGCGAAGUCACACAGGUGGAGACCUUGCUCACCCAGAGGGACCUUGCCCUUAACCAGGCCCGGGACGAACUUACCGAGGCUCAAGGCUAGGUGUCUCUUUGGCAGGGGCGUGUAGAAGAGAAUCAGAAGCGGGCUGAAGGUAAAAGUCGUAACCUUACCUUUGUUAUUGGUGUAUAGGUUCUAUUGCUUACUUUUUCCUUUUUUUACCGCAGAGCUGGAGAGGAAGGUGGUCGAGGCAUCUUCUGUGACGGACGCCCUGAAGAAGUCUCUCGAUGCCGAGGUCUCGGAAUGUUCAGCAUUGGAAGCUGUGGUCACCUCGGCUUGCGAGGGACUUGGGGUAAGGCAGACGCAUCAGGGUCCUCUCUACGGGGUCGCAUCGAGACUUUGUACUCCUAGGACGGGGAGAGGCAGGCGCAUCGGGGUCCUCUCUGUGGGGCCGUGUCAUGCUGGGGUGAAGAAAGCCCUGGCCAUGGUGAGCUCUCACUACGUUGGCAUUGACUUGUCGGCGGUCAGUGAGGGGUACGUCGUUCCCGACGAUGAGGCGGAGGCCUAGGAGGAAGUGUAGAAACUCGCCGACGCUGCGGAGGCACCAGGAGAUGCCCUGGCCACCUUCUUUGACGCCAAAGUGGAGCUUCCCCCCCUCGGUGUGCAGGAUGCUAGACAGUCAGGGAAAUGAGGCCCUUGUAUUAGUUAGUUUAUUUUGUGAACAUCAGAGGCCAAUGGGCUCCCACUUUUGUAAACUUAAUUUUUAUAUGAAUGUUUUCUUUUUAGAAAUUCCUUGUGUUUCUCUUUUUCCCUAGGGCUGACCCAGCCUCGGCAGCGUGAGGUUGGGUGAGCCACCGAAGGUCAGAGCUUUUUAGUGGGGCGUCCCAAGCCUAAGUCCCUUUCCCUUUCUUAGUGUUCUAAAAUCCGGGCAGACUUAUCUCCUGGUCCUAAGGAGUGAGAAGAAAGUGUCCUAGCCCGUGGGUGUGGAUCUACUUCCAAGCUCGUUCCUCUUAAGACUUAGGUGAUUAAUUUGCGGUUCUUAGUCUCUUUAAGAAAGAGAAAAAGAUCUUGGGUUGGGGAGUUCCAAAUUAAGCGAAAAAUUUAGGGUCAUCACAGGGGGUUCCCCCCGUGUAGCCCCCUAGGGAGGUUCGGACUCUGCAGGGCAGAGCCGAGGCUCACUCUCUAAAAAGAAACAGACAUAUAAUUUAUAUCUUUUAUUAUUUCUCCAAGGUAAAGUUGUUGAUGCAAAAGAUGAUCUGCAAACACAAAGGGCUAAUACCCGAUUCAAACGUUAAGGCGUGCCAGCCGAUUUGACCUUACUAUCGGCAAAGGUGAUAACUUGAAUACUUUGGUCCCGACAACAGCGAUGCGCCCAGAUGCCACGGCCAAGAGGUAUUCACGCGGAACUUGAGAAUACGCCGAGCUUAAGUCGAUGAACUCCGAAGAACUCGUAAUGAAAAGGAAAAAUAUGACGAAGUCGUCGAAAAGUAAGUACUGGAAUAUGAAUAAAAGCUUGUGUUUGAUUGAUUGAUAGAUUCAUGUCUUACAAGGCCCUUGGGUCUACAUUUAUACCCUGCUCAAAAGAGAUACAACCUGAUACGACUAGAACUCGAAUUCCAAAUUAAAUAGAAUCCGUAUACAAAACGAUUUAAAUAACUAAGGAAAAACAUAAAACUAUCCCCCCGUGACAACCUGGGACGCCACCUAGACCAAUCGGCAACCUUCAAGUCUUCCUUCCGCGUUAUCGGCAGACUCUCCAUCGUAGCCAUCGGCAAAGGUUAAUGCUAGCUAUCGGCAUAAACACAUCACCACCCAUGGACUUAGCCACAUCCAGCUGUCUCCUCAUCGGCAACCACCCUCAUCGGCAACUCUUCUGCAGACCAGUUACCAUUGCCCUAUCUUGCCGAUCUACACUCUACCGAUCCUGGGCACGUGUCCAAAAAUGGUGUCAACAAAAGUACAAGUGAUUUCUUUUACAAAAUUUUAAGGAUACAAGCGACGUAGCUAUUCUAUGUUCCAUGCGUUGUUGUAGACCUCUCCUUCCUCGUUGGCGAGCCUAUAUGUGCUGGGUCGGAGGACUUCGGCGAUGACGAAGGGUCCUUCCUAGGGAGGCAUGAGCUUGUGGCAGCCCUUGUUGCUUUGCCUGAGCCUCAGCACCAAGUCGCCGACUUGGAAGGCUCGGCCUCGGACUUGUCGAGCAUGGUAGCAUCGGAGGGCCUGCUGGUACUUGGCAGAAUGUAGGAGGGCUACAUCCCUGGCUUCGUCCAGCUAGUCCAGCGCAUCCUCUAGGAACGUCUUGUAGCUAUUCUGGUCAUAAGCUUGUACCCUUGGAGACCUGUACUCUAGGUCUAUGGGCAGUACAGCCUCAGACCCAUAGACCAUGAAGAACAGGGUGAAACCUGUGGCUCAGCUUCGAGAAGUCGUUAGACUCCACAUCACAGCCGGUAGCACUUUGAGCCACCUCUUUCUGAACUUGUUCAGCCGAUUAAAAAUUCUGGGCUUCAGUCCUUGGAGGAUCAUGCCAUUGGCACGUUCUACCUGACCAUUGGUCUUUGGAUGAGCCACUGCUGCCCAGUCCACACGUAUGUGGUGUCUAUCAAAGAAAUCUAGGAAUUUUCGCCCGGUGAACUGUGUGCCGUUAUCUGUGAUAAUGGAGUUGGGCACUCCAAAUCGGUGGAUAAUAUCUGUGAAGAACAACACUGCUUGUUUGGCCUUGAUUCUUGUGAUGGGUCGGACCUCAAUCCACUUGGAAAACUUGUCGAUCGCGACAAGCAUGUGGGUGAAGCCCUCAGGCGCUUUCUGUAGAGGCCCGACGAGGUCGAGGCCCCAGACAGCAAAGGGCCAUGUGAUGGGGAUCAUCUAUAGAGCCCGAGCCGGGAGGUGGAUCUGCCGAGCGUAGAACUGGCAUCCCUUACAGGUUCGAACGAUUUGAGUGGCGUCUGCCACAGCUGUGGGCCAGUACAAACCUUGUCGGAAGGCAUUUCCUACAAGCGUUCAAGGCACCGCAUGGUGGUCGCAAGCCCCCGAGUGUAUCUCCUGAAGGAGUUUUAUCCCUUCGUGACGGGUGAUGCAGCGCAUGAGAACGCCCGAGGGGCUACGCUUGAACAUCUCGCCAUCGAGAAGUACAAAAGCCUUGGCAUGACGAGCUACUCGCCGCGCCUCGGCUUGGUAUGGAGGUAGAGUGACAUCGACGAGGCGUUGCAGGAGAGGAUAACGCUAGGAGUUUUAUCUCUUCCUGACUGGUGAUGCAGCACAUGAGAACGCCCGAGGGGCUGCGCUUGUACAUCUCGCCAUCGAGAAGUACAAAAGCCUUGGCACGACGAGCUACUCGCCGCGCCUCGGCUUGGUCUGGAGGUAGAGUGCCAUCAACGAGGCAUUGCAGGAGACGAUAACGCCAAUCCAGCAAGUCAUCUGGGGCGGGUGCCUCGGACUCAAUGUCCAUAGCCUCUGGCUCGGGAGUCGCGGAGGGCUCGGAAUUCAGACCUGGGUCGGUCGAGGAACGAUCCGAGCCUCCACCUUCUUUGUAGUCAACGGAGGCCUUGUAGAGGUCACUGACAAAGACAUCCAGGGGGACUGUAGCCUCCUUGGAUGCCAUUUUUGCAAGUGCAUUGGCGGCCUCAUUGUAUUUUCUCAACACGUGGUUAAGCUCGAGGCUGUCGAAUUUUUCCUGCAGGCGCAGGACCGUCUUGUAGUACGCGUCCAUCUUGGGAUCAUGGCAACAAGACUCCUUCAUGACCUGGUCAAUGAUGAGCCUAGAGUCACCUCGGACAUCGAGCCGCUUGAUCCCAAGCUUGAUCACAAUGUGGAGACCAUUGAAAAGGGCCUCAUACUCCGCCACGUUAUUUGAGGCGGGGAAGUGGAGUCGGAUCGCGUAUCGCAUCCUUCCUCCGAGGGGUGAGAUGAAGACGAGGCCUGCGCCAGCCUCGGUUUUCAUCAGAGAACCGUCGAAGUACAAGGUCCAACACUCGGAUUGGAUCUCGGGUGGAGGGAGCUGAGUUCCCAUCCACUCAGCCACGAAAUCGGCCAAAACUUGGGAUUUUAUAGCCUUCCGAGGCUCGUAGGUGAUUCCGUCACCCAUGAGUUCUAUAGCCCACUUAGCAAUUCUGCCAUUAGCCUCUCGGUUUUGGAUCACCUCUCCUAAAGGAAAAGAUGAGACCACCUAGAUGGGAUGAGACUCAAAGUAAUGGCGGAGCUUGCGUCGAGCUAGGACUACCGUAUAGAGUAGUUUUUGAAUUUGGGGAUAUCGGGUCUUAGUGUCGGAGAGUACUUCGCUGACGAAGUACACCGGUCUUUGGACUGGUAGGGCAUGCCCCUCUUCCUCUCGACCAUGAUAGCUGCACUGGCCAAUUGGUCAGUGGCUGCAACAUAAAGGAGGAGUGGUUCCCCUUCGGUGGGGGGCACCAAGAUGGGAGGGUUGGUGAGCAAAGCCUUGAGUCUGUCAAUGGCUUCCUAGGCCUCGGUGGUCCUGAAAAAGUGCUCAGAUUUUCUAAAUAACCUAUACAGAGGCAACCCUUUCUCCCUGAGGUGGGAGAUGAAACGGCUAAGGGACGCAAGGCAUCCCAUGACUCUCUGUACCCCUUUUAGGUUACAGAUUGGGCCCAUGUUAGCUAUGGCUGAGACCUUCUCUGGGUUGGCCUUGAUCCCCCGCUCAGAGACAACGAACCGAGGAGCAUGCCUCGGGGGACCCCAAAAAUGCAUUUCUCGGGGUUCGGUCUGAUUCCCUCAGCCCUGAGGCACCGGAAUGUUUCAUCUAGGUUCACCAUAAGGCCGCUUGUCUUCCUAGAUUUGACCAAGAUGUCAUCUACGUAAGCCUCUACUGUUUUGCCUAUGAGGUCUCCGAAGACCUGGAGCAUACAUCGUUGGUAUGUAGCCCCCGCGUUCUUAAGGCCGAACGGCAUGGUGACGUAGCAAAACAUUCCAAAAGGGGUGAUGAAAGAGGUUGCGAGCUGGUCGGACUCUUUCAUCUUGAUUUGGCGGUACCCGGAGUAUGCAUCAAGAAAAGACAAAGUUUCACAUCUCGCCGUAGAGUCAACUAUUUGGUCAAUACGAGGCAAUGGAAAAGGAUUCUUAGGACAUGCUUUAUUUAUACUAGUAUAGUCUACACACAUCCUCCAUUUCCCAUUUUUCUUUUUGACUAAGCGUUAGCUAACCACUUGGGAUGGAAUACCUCCUUGAUGGACCCAGCCGCCAGCAGCUUCUGGAUCUCCUCCCUAAUGGCCCGAUGCUUUUCCUCGUCGAAUCGGCGUAGGCGCUGCUUCAUGGGCUUGGAGCUGGCUCGGAUGUCGAAGGAGUGCUCGCCGACUUCCCCCGGUAUGCCUGGCAUGUCCGAGGGACUCCACACAAAUACGUCAGCGUUUGCGCAGAGAAAGUCGACGAGCACUGCUUCCUAUUUGGGGUCGAGGCUCGAGCUGAUCCUCAAUGCCUUGCCUUUGAAGGCCUUGGGGUCGAGGAAGAUGAGCUUGGUCUCCUCCACCGACUCGAAGCUCCCGGCAUGAUGUUUGGGGUCAGGGAUGUCCUGAUCGACGUCGUCGAGGAUGGUGAUGAUGGAUAGUGACUCGGCUAGAGCCUCGGCCUACUCAAUGCACUCUACGUCGCAUUGGUAGGCAUGCUAGCUUGUCGUGCUGAUGGUGAUGAUGCCAUUUGGGCCUGGCAUCUUGAGCUUGAGGUAGGUGUAGUUGAGGAUGGCUAUGAACUUGGCGUAGCAUGGUCUCCCCAGAAUCACGUGGUAGAUCCCGUGGAACCCGACCACGUCAAAAGUAAGGACCUGCCGCCUGAAGUUGUCGGGAGUCCCAAAGCAGAUGGGCAGAUCGAUCUGCCAGAGAGGAUGGGCUCGGUGCCCUGGCGCCACUCCAAGGAAUGGCAAUGCAUCAUUGCUUAGCCGAGACUUAUUGAUCCCCAUGAGGGCUAUGGUCUCGGCGUAAAGAAUAUUGUGGCUGCUGCCUCCGUCCAUCAACACCUUGGAGAGGCAGGUCUCGGUGAUGAUGGGGUCGACGAUGAGUGGAUAACUCCUGGGAUUCAGGAUCCGAUCCGGGUGAUCCUGUCGAUCGAAAGUGAUGGCGCUCUCCGACCACUUGAGGCAUGAGGGCGCGGUUGUGCUAACCGUGCAGACCUCUCGGAGCUCGCGCUUCCUUUGACUCGUGGUGAGGUGAGCCGCGUGUCCCCCAAAGAUCAAGAGGCAGUUCUUGACUUUGGGGAAGCCUUCCCCUUCGUCGUCGUUGUCCUUGGGGGGGCUCUUCUGCGUCUUCUUUGGUCGUAAUGCCGGUGUAGUAUCGACGCAGGACGGUGCACUCCUCGAGGGUGUGUUUGCUGGGACCCCUAUGAUAGGGGUAUGGCUUCUUCAACAUUUCGUUGAAGAGCCCGGGGCCAGCAAGAGCCCGCUUCGGGUUCUUGCGAUCUGCCGCGGCGACCAAGUUGUCGUCGGACUGACCCUGCUUCCCCUUGCGACCCUUUUUCUUCUUCUUAGGGUCUUGGGAGCCUGAGGCAUCAGUGGCCUCGGCCUUCUGCUUCCCCUUGGUGUUGCCGUCAGAGAAGAUCGCACCAACUACCUCUUCACCCGAGGCGAAGUUGGUGGCAAUAUCGAGCAGCUGGCUAGUGCUCGUGGGGGUCUUGCGCCCGAGCUCGUGUACCAGCUCCUUACAGGUGGUGCCAGCGAUGAAGGCUCCAAUGACGUCGGAGUCCGUGAUGUUAGGGAGCUCGGUGCACUGCUUGGAGAAUCACCAGAUGAAAUCUCGAAGAGAUUCAUUAGGCUUCUACCGAUAGCUCCUGAGAUCCCAUGAGUUCCCAGGGUGCACAUAUGUGCCCUGGAAGUUCCCGACAAAGAUCUUACCAGGUUGGCCCAGUCGUGGAUCAGACGCUCAGGAAGGUGCUCGAGCCACGCCCUGGCUGAAUCUGCCAGGUGUAGUGGCAGCUUGUAGAUGAUGAGCAGAUCAUCCUCCGCUCUGCCUAACUAGCAUGCUAGGAACUAGUCCGCUAGCCAGAGCUCAAGGUUUGUCUCCCCUGAGUACUUGGUGAGGUUUGCUGGCUGUUGGAACCAGGCUUGGAAUUUGGCCCUGCGGAUGGCCUCGCUGAAAACGCAGGGCCCUGGAGGCUCAGGCGAUGUGCUGCGGUCGUGCUCGGGGUCAUACCUUCCGCCUCAGCACAGACGGUAGCGUUGAGACUCGGCCUCGUCCCUGUCACGACGUCUGGCCUCAAGGGUGGCCCGGGCAUCCACAUUGGUCCCCAUGCCCUCAUGGACGGAUGGGGCCUUAGCGCCCCCUUGCGGGUUAGGGGGCACCAGGCCUUGCACGGUUGGUGCCUUGUUGGGAGGGGGUUGAUCCCCGAGGCGUCUUGCCCUUGAGUCGUGGGACUGUGAUGUAGAGCUUUCCGCAUUUUGUACCACGGCUUGGUCCAGGAGGCCAUGAAGCCCCUGGCGCACCCUUCUUCCCUCAGGAGUCGAUGGCUCAGGCAUCGCUCAGAGGAGUAGCGCAGCAGCCAUUACGUUUUGGCCACAUCCCCGUCCCCCCGAGUGGACUGGUCUCGCUCUAGGGUCUCGCGCAACUGUCGGAGACGCACACGUUCCUCUUCGAGCCUGGCCUCCAGCUCAUUGUGCUGCUCGAGGUGAGGUCGACAAACCUCUGCUAGAGCUGACGCGGCUUUGUGUGCUCCAGGGUGACUUCUAGGGUGUCGGUGCAAAAGUAAAUCUGCAAACACAAAGGGCUAAUACCCGAUUCAAACGUUAAGGCGUGCCAGCCGAUUUGACCUUACUAUCGGCAAAGGUGAUAACUUGAAUACUUUGGUCCCGACAACAGCGAUGCGCCCGGAUGUCACGGCCAAGAGGUAUUCACGCGGAACUCGAGAAUACGCCGAGCUUAAGUCGACGAACUCCUAAGAACUCGUAAUGAAAAGGAAAAUAUGACGAAGUCGUCGAAAAAGUAGAUGCUAGAAUAUGAGUAAAAACUUGUGUUUGAUUGAUUGAUAGAUAUCUCGAUUACAAGGCCCUAGGGUCUACAUUUAUACCCUGCUCAAAGAGCUACAAUCAAACAUGACUAGGACUCGAAUUCCAAAUUGAACGGAAUCCAUAUACAAAACGAAUUUAAAUAUCUAUGGAAAACAUAAAACUAUCCUCCCGUGACAAACCGGGACACCACUGUAGAUCAAUCGGCAACCCUCACGUUCUCCUUCCGAGUCAUCAGUAGACUUCUCAUCAUAGCCAUCGGCAAAGACUAACGCUGACUAUCGGCACGAACGCGUCACCACUUCUGGACUUAGUCACAUUCAGCUGUCUCUUCAUCGGCAACCACCCUCAUCGGCAACUCCCCUGCAGACCAGUUACUGUUGCCCCAUCUUGUCGAUCUAUACUUUACCGAUCCCUGGGUACGUGUCCAAAAAUGGUGUCAACACAUGCCCCCCAAUUUCGGAGUAUGAAAUCAUUAAUGCUCCAAAAUUCUCUGCAAUAAUGAUGCCUUUCCGCAAUUAAUUCCCCCAAUUUGGUAACCGACCGUUUAAAUCUGAACAACCUUGGCCCGAUUAUCCUGCAGGUUCCUCGAAUUCCUCAACCUUCCGAAACGGAUCUCUCCACUUCAUGCACCCAUUGGCAAUAUUACCGUUAGGAGGAACUGCCGAUGGACUGACCAAGAAAUCUUGCACAGUGGAAUAUCUCCAGAUCAAGACUGCUUCCUAUCAAAUCACCUGCGCAAUCCCUUGAUUAUCGUGCGAACAGUUACCAUAUCCACCUGAGUAUCCUCGGAUUUCAUGGAUAUGGCGAAGAGUCCAAUUUGCCCUUGCCCGUUUUGUCCUAUAAAUACUUCCUUCUCGGGUACUCCUUCUCCAUCACAUCAUUCUACAGCCCCAACUCUGCUUUCCUGGUGGCGGCACUAUUCGAGAGCUCCAAGAACUCCAACAAGAACUUCCUCCAACUACUCCCAAGUUUUCGAUCUUCUCCCCUGCGAGGAGAUGGCCAUCAACUUCGUCGUUCCUGAGAUCAGCGUACUACCCUUUUUUUGUACUUUUACUGUAUCCCAGUUCAUCCGCAAUCUUCCUUACCGAAUCCUUUUUUCUUUUUGUUCUCCUUUCGUUCCCAAAAAUUUCUAGGAUUUGGCUAACAAGAUCGUUAUUCCUACCGAUCAACCCCAUCUCCAAUGCCUUGGUCUACUAGGGAACUUGGAUCCCACCGAUCCUAUAAACGCAGAGACAAACAGAAUCCCUUUUAGAGCCGAGAAUUUUUCUCUAGAUCUAUGGAAAGACGCCUUCCGUUCCUGGCCCUGUCCUACCAAGGGAUGGAAGGAUUGGUUUCUGAGAGUCAGUAAUUCAAAUGAAGUCCAAUGGGGUGAACGGAAAUUAGAUCAGUGCAUUAGACUGUCUCUUGCCGAUAUGGAGAGAAAUGAGUCGCUACUGAUAGCUGCCUCAUACUUCUGGUCAGAUACACUUAAUGCUUUCGUGUUUGGCCAUGGCCCUGCUUCCCCUACACUUGCCGAUGUUCUCAUGCUCACCGGUUUAGACAUAUCCACUGCCGAUACCACCCACCUGUUCGACACCAAACCCAGUGCUAAGGUAGAAACCCGUGCUAUCGGUGGUUGGUCAGGGUAUAUUUAGAAGUACCGCCGAACAGGACCUGUCAAUAUAAAGGAAUAGACCACCUUCCUGAACAUGUGGUUAGAUAAGUUUGUAUUCUGUGGUCGAUCGGCAGGACCAACUUCACCUAUCGGCAGCAGAAAGGCUAGCUAAUGGUGGCCGAUUUCCUCUUGGCCGAUACCUGCUCGGCUCUGCUUAUCACCUCCUCCAUCAAGUAGCUCACAAACUACUGCUUGGUCAAUCCAUCGGCAACUUAGGGGGUCCCUGGUGGUUCAUUAAUAUGUGGCUUAGUCUUCACAUGCACAAGCGCCUUGAGUUUGACCUCUUUGCUCAGCGCUUCCCUAGAGAUAUAGCUGAAGAUUAUGAACUGGAUGAGGAAGAAUCGGCAACUCGUUCCCCUCUGAACUUUGGCAAAGCCGUCAUAGUUUUGCCUGGCACAGGCGGCAACGCAGACCAGGUCAGCCGAUUCUUCCAAACUCUGUAUGAGGGUUUGACCAGGGAACAGCGGGCAUGGAUGCCUUAUGAAGACCCAGACACCAGAUUCCCUCUGACUUUCCACCUCUUCAAUGAUGCUCUCAACAAGGAUCGUGAGGUGAUGAUGGCAAUUAUCACCCCAGAGCUAUACCGGUGAACUUCUUUGGCAGUGGGAAAACUUCUAACCUGACUUAUGAGUUCUACAAUCCAUCGGCAUUAGCUCGUCAACUAGCUUUCGGCCAACUGCCGAUUGUACUUUGCUACGCCGAUGUGAUAAAACCGAGAGAGAUUAUCACCAGCCAUCUGGAAUGGAUCAGGGUAGCCCAACUUCCACCAAACGCCGAUACAGAUGUUGAUCUAUCGGCUUGAAUCCCAGCUCUCUUCAUCACUCAGGCAUACAAACAGUGGUGGGAAGAAUAGAAAGAGCACCUGUUCUACAGAUCGGCUCUUACAUACUGUGGCAUGAUCGACCCUCCAUACAAAGUCCUCGAUACCACUGUAAGUACUUCCGAACCGAUGUUUCAAUCCUUUCAUUUUCACUUUCUAUCGGUAUCUUACUUCCUUGUUAUAUGCAGGUCGAUGACACACCCCCAUUGGUCAGCAGGAGUGGCAAGCCGAUUGAGCUCCUUCCAUCAGGCCCGAUCUCUUUGAUCGGCAACAAUGCUCCAACUCUAGCUGCUAUAAUGCAUCGGGGUGUGCGCCUCAAGAAGGUCACCACCAAACGAAUGAGAACAUCCCCAUCGGUAGCUGCUACUGCCCUGGCACAAGCCUUCAAGGUACAUUCUCUAAUUCUUUAUUCAUACCGAUCUCAUUCUUAUACAUAUCACACUUGUACUCAUAAACUUCUUAUCGUUGUAUCAGCACACCAGUACAUCGGCAAAGACCAGAAGUACGACUGCCGAUGCCCCCCAGUCUAGUCAACCGAAAAGAAAGGGUUCCAAGAUUACCAGAUCACAAGCAAAGCGUCAGAGAACAGCAACGCCUUCUCCUCCCCCAGUAUCUCCAAUCCCAGUAGAAUCAUCUCCCUCUUCUCCAGAAAUCCAAACACAGCAGAUUCCAUCUCCUCCUCAGUCACAAGAAGAACCCCAAGUGGAAGAGCUCCAGCCAGAGGUACCUCAGCCAGAAGAGAUACCGGCUGAUGUACACGAGCAGACCACCGAUCCAGCAAGCCUAAUCAUAGCAUCGGUAGUCUCCUCGAUCCAGACAAGCACUGCACCUCCUCAAGGUAAUAUACUUUCUAUUUACUGCCGAUGAACCUAUUUUCCCACUUUACUAAUCACUUCUGUCAAUCUUUCAGCUAACAUAGUUUCAUCGGCAAUCCCAGCCGAUCAGCCCGUGGUUCCAUCGGCGUCAUCCAGUCAGAGGCGAGAGAUGGCCCUGAAACAAGUAAGUUACCCAAUCUCUAUCUGUAUUAUUUAUCAGUACUUGAUCAUAGAAUAACUUAUUUUAUUUUCCUUUUCAGGAACAGGACUCUCCUGACAGCUUGUUCUCCUUUGCCAUCGACAUCUCUGAGGAUGAAGGCGAGGAGGCAAGUUCUUCUCGAGCUAUUGGAAUCUCAUCGGCAGAAAUCAGAGCAAAGUUAGAAGAAUUGUCGGCCCUUCUUCAUCAAGACACGGCCCAAUUGGUCGACGAUUCCGAUUCAGCCAAGGCCUUGUUCAAGACUCUCAGAGGCCAAAUUCCUGCCGAUGCCGAGGAGAUCCUCUUCAAGGAUGCUCACUUAGAAAGUCGGCAGCUUCAAUAUCAAUAGGCCGCUCAACGCCUUGCCGAUAGGGCUAAUCAUGCUCAGCUAUCAGAAGAGAUGAUAAAAGUGAAGCUCCUUGCCGAUGAAAAGCACAAGAACAUCGGCAUCUUGAAAUCCUCGGGGGAUGUAUUGAAGCACAAGAUUUCUGAGCUAUCGGCAAAGAGAGAGGCCCUAUUGACAGAACUCAAGCAGGUAGAAGAAAGCCAGCUUCCUGAAGCGAUCAAGCUUCUUGAACAAGAGCGAAAUGUCGAAGCUCGCAAAGCACUGCAGAUGAAGAAGAAGCUGAAGCCAGUGGAGGGCUCUACCGAUGACGACAUGAAGGAGAUAGAAGAAGCCAACCAGAUCCGUCUGCGCGCCAUAUCGACGAUCCAGGCUUUGUUAAACAUGUGAAUUCUUCAUCGGCGGCACAUUUGCUCUUUUCUUUUAAACACUCCUAAUAUUUUGGUCUAGCCGAUAGGACUGUUAUCGGCACCUUUUAAAACAUUAGGUCCGGCCCUAGAUACACUUUUGAUUCAGCCGAUAGGAAUGUUAUCGGCACUUAAACUUUCAUGCAUCAAGCCAUAUGCUGGGGUAAUAUCUCUUUAAAUAUUUGCCGUUCAAUGCCCUAGGAAAUUCAACUCCUUCGAGAGUUUCUAAGAUAUAGGUGUUGCCAGGAGCAGAUCGAUUUAUACGAUAGGGACCCUCCCAAUUGGGAGACCACUUCCCAAAUUUUGAACUUUUAGUCCCGAUCGGUAACAUUAGUUUCCACACUAAGUCUCCAUCGGCAAACUCCUUAGCCUUUACCUUCUUAUCGUACCAUCUGGCAACUCUCUUCUUAUUUUCUUCUAUACUUAUCAAAGCCCUUAGCUGAUGCCCUGCUAGAUCAUCCAACUCGUCUGUCAUCAAAGUAGUAUAAUCAUCGGCAGUCAAUUGAUCUUGAAAAGAUAGUCGCCUAGACCCAGUCUUAAUUUCCCAAGGUAACAUUGCAUCAUGUCCAUACACCAACUGAUAAGGUGAAACUUUGGUCGACCCAUGACAAGCCAUCCGAUAUGACCAUAAAGCUUCAUUCAACAAUGUAUGCCACCUCCUAGGAUUUUCUUCAAUCUUUCGUUUAAUAAGCUUGAUAAUUCCUUUGUUAGAUGCUUCGCCCUGCCCAUUAGCUUGAGCAUAAUAAGGAGAAGAAUUUAAUACUUUAAUUCCCAUACCGAUUGCAAACUCAUCAAACUCCCCUGAUGUAAACAUAGUACCCUGAUCGGUAGUAAUUGUCUGAGGAAUUCCAAAUCAGUAAAUGAUAUGCUCCUUCACAAAAUCAAUCAUAUUGGCCGAUGUAACUUUCUUCAAAGGAAUAGCUUCAACCCAUUUGGUGAAAUAAUCGGUGGCAACCAAGAUAAACUUAUGUCCUUUGCUGGAUGGCGGAUAAAUCUGGUCGAUCAAGUCAAUAGCCCAUCCUCGGAACGACCAAGGUUUGAUGAUAGGAUUCAUGGCCGAUGCGGGUGCUCUUUGAACAUUGCCAAAUUUCUGACAUCCUUGACACCCCUUGAAAUAUUUAAAGCAAUCUUCAAGUAUGGUUGGCCAAAAAUACCCAUCCUCCUAAUCAUCCACUUCAUCUUAAAAGCCGACUGAUGUGCUCCACAUACUCCUUCAUGGAUUUCUCCCAUUAAACUUUUAGCUUCAUCAUCACCUAAGCACCUGAGAAGAAUCCCAUCAAUAGUUCGAUAAUAUAAUUCAUCUUCAAGGAGCACAUACUUGGUGGCUUGAAACCGAACACGUCUCUCAACUUUCUUGGAUGGAUCCUUUAAAUAAUCAAUGAUUUCUUUUCUCCAAUCAUCGGCACUGAUUGCCGAUAUUGCGUUUAACAUGGGUUGAUAUCCCAACGCAUGCUGAGCCAACCGAUUGGCCUCUUCAUUAUGCAACCGAGGAACGUGCUCUAAUCGGAAAUCCUUGAAUUCCUUUAACAGUUGCGUACUUUUUCAUAGUAAGUUAUCAAGACCUUGCUUUGGCAUUCGUAACUUCCAGCCAAUUGAUUUAUAACCAACAUAGAAUCUCCAAAGAUUUCAACAGCAUCAGCACGAACCUCUUUUAACAACUCCAACCCCUUAAUUAAAGCUUGAUAUUCAGCUUGAUUAUUUGUCGACGUGGCAACAGUCGGCAAGGAGAACUCAUAUUUCCUUCCCUAAGGGGAAAUUAGCACUAUGCUGAUUCCUGCCCCCCGAUCACAUGUGGAUCCAUCAAAGAAGAGCGUCCACGGUACAAUUUCCAAAGCCUCCACUGCACCGCAAUGUUGAGUCACAAAAUCGGCCAUAAUAUGUCCUUUAACCGCUUUAGCCGAUUCGUAACGCAGAUCGAAUUCCGACAAUGCCAAAAUCCACUUACCGAUCCUACCACUCAUGAUCGGCAUAGACAGCAUAUAUCGGACCACGUCAUCUUUGCAUAUAAUAUUGCAUUCGGCCGAUAGUAAAUAGUGCCUCAAUUUAGUACAUGAGAAAUAUAGGCACAAACAUAACUUUUCAAUGGCCGAAUACCUGGUCUCAGCAUCAACCAAUCUCCUGCUUAAAUAGUAAAUCACACAUUCCUUCCCUUCAAAUUCUUGAAUUAAAGCCGAACUGAUGACCAUCCCAUCGGUAGACAAAUAUAACCUGAAGGGCUUUCCUUGCUGAGGUGGAAUCAGAACUGGAGGAUUUACCAAAUAAUUCUUGAUUUCAUCUAAAGCCAACUGUUGCUCCUUUCCCCAUACGAACUCUUGAUCGGCUUUCAAUCUAAGUAAAGGACUGAAAGCAUGAAUUUUACCAGACAAGUUAGAUAUAAAUCUCUUGAUAAAAUUUACCUUGCCGAUCAAGGACUGGAGCUCAGUUUUGUUGGUAGGAGCAACUAUUUUAUUGAUAGCAUCAAUGGAUCUCCUACUAACUUCAAUCCCCCUUUGAUGCACCAUGAAACCAAGGAAUUGUCCUGCCGAUACGCCAAAUGCACACUUGUUAGGGUUCAUCUUCAAACCAUGCUUCCUUGUGCAUUCUAACACCUUUCGCAAAUCGGCAAGAUGCUUUGUGAAGUCUCCAGACUUAACCACCACAUCAUCAAUAUAAAUUUCCACCAGCUUGCCGAUGAACUCAUGAAAUAUAAAAUUCAUAGCCCUCUGAUAAGUAGCACCAGCAUUUUUCAAACCAAAGGUCAUGACUAUCCAUUCAAACAACCCAACAUGACCAGGAAAUCUAAAUGCAGUCUUUGGAAUAUCUUCUUCAGCCAUGAAUACCUGAUUAUACCAUGCAUUGCCAUCCAUAAAGCUAAUGAUCCAAUGCCCAGCCGCAGCAUCAACUAGCAGAUCGGCAACUGGCAUUGGGUAGCCAUCCAUCGGUGUAGCUUUAUUAAGAUUCCUGAAAUCAAUGCAAACCCGAAGCUUCCCAUUUUUGUUAUAGACUGGAACAACAUUGGAAAUCCACUCGGUAUACCGACAUUGUCGAAUAAAUUUAGCUUCGAUGAGUUUGGUUAUUUCGGCCUUAAUAUCUGGAAGAAUAUUAGGAUUACAUCGGCGAGCUGGCUGUUGAUGUGGCCGAAAUCCAGACUUGAUGGGUAACCGAUGUUCAACAAUCGAUCGGUCCAAACCAGGCAUCUCAGUAUAAUCCCAAGCAAAGCAAUCUUUAUAUUCCUUUAACAAAUCGGUUAACUACUGCUUACACUCAGGAUUUAACUUAGCACUAAUAAAAGUAGGCCUGGGCUUAUCACCACUACCUAUAUCUACUUCUACCAAAUCAUCGGCCGAUGUGAAUCCCUGGCCUAAUUUUCCAUCAUCGGUGAAUCUAUCCAUUAGAACUCCUCGUCAGAACCGACUGCUUCGAUCGGUGGAAUUUCAUAAUCGGCAACUUUGAGGAACUCCUUCUCCCAAACUUCUCCUGAGAUACACCUAGUUCUUUCAUAAGUGUCCGCCUCUGUCGAUGCAAUGACAUAAGAAGAAUCGCUCGGGACAAUCUCAAUCUUGUCACCUACCCACUGGACCAAGCACUGGUGCAUUGUAGAUGGGAUGCAACAAUUGGCAUGAAUCCAAUCUCUCCCUAGAAGCAAGUUAUAAGCACCUUUUUCCGCUGAUCACGAAGAAAGUUGUCGGCAAGGUUUUGCUGCCGAUGGUCAACUCGACGCAUAUUGCCCCCUUAACUGAAGACACGUUUCCCUCGAAGUCCUUUAACAUCAUAUCGGUCUUGGUCAAAUCUUGUCCCCUUUUCCAAGCUUCCGAUAUACUGCAUACGGCAUGAUGUUGAUAGCGGCUCCACCAUCAAUUAAUAUCUUGGUCAUUGGCUGACCAUCAACCCUUACUUUGACAAACAGGGCUUUAAGAUGCUGCCUUUCAUUGUCGGCAGGCUUUUCAAAGAUAGCCGUCAUCGGAUCCAGAGCCAACUGAGCUAUCUGGUCGGAAAACUCCAACUCCUCAUCAUCGCUGGAUGGCGCAAGGAAUUCCACCGGCAACAUAAAUACCAUAUUAACUUCUGCCGAUGGCCCUUUCCCCUUAGUAUCUGAUUGUUGCUGAUCCCCAGAUUGGCCAGAGUUCUCGCCCUUGCUUAGCUCUUCUCGUCUUUCGCGCUGCAGACUCUUUUUCUUUGUUUUAGUCAACCCCUCUGGACACCAUGGGGGAAGUGGUGACUGCCUUGCCGAUGGACGACAAUGUUCCCUUGACUCCAUCCGAUAGUGUUAGCGUCCCUGCAAAAUAUGAACUCAUCAGGAACCUGUGCAUUAGCCAUCUCCUCAAGCUCUUCCUGAUUCCUAGAAAAUAUUCAACACGAUCACCAAGUCUAUCGUGCACACUGAGUCUGCCCCCCAGCUGAUCAUGAACGGACGCUCUCCCCUAAUCGGCCCAUUAAAUCGCCGAUCAUCAUCGUGAUAGCGUCGAUCGGAUCUGUCAUACCGAUUAUAACCAUUGCAUUCAGGGCAAUCUCUAACAGUGGGCAACUUGAUGUUCUGCUCCCAGCAAUGGAUAAAGAAUGGGUAGUUCCAGUGAUCUCUAUGCCGAUUCCACUCCUGUCGGCGUCUUUCUUCUUCCCAAUGAUAGUCUUCUUGUUGACGCCGAUACCGAUCCUCACGUUGAUGCCAAGUCUCCUGAGGCCUCCUGUGAGUUAUCACGAUACCAGAUCGGGGAGGCCUUCCUGAGUUAAUUCCCUCUUGGAUCAAGCCUUUUCCUUUGGCAUCGGCAACAGUAAUUUGAUGCUGAGGAUCUACCGAUGCACUCCUUUCGGUUGCUUCCGACGUCAAGACCUUGGUUUUUACCUUAGUAUCCAACAUAUUUGUUGGGAAAGGAUGUUGAUCGAUCUUCAUCGGCUUCUGAGCUUUGGAACUGUCAAAUUUGAUUCUUCCAGAUUCAAUAGCCGAUUGCAGCUGUUGUCUAAAAACCUUGCAUUCAUUGGUGCUGUGAGAAGUUGCAUUGUGCCACUUGUAGUAUUUCAUCUUCUUUAAUUCUUCAGCCGAUGGGAUUACAUGAUUGGGUGACAAUUUGAUCUGACCUUCCUGAAGUAAAAAGUCAAAUGCGAACUUCUCUGGCUCUUUAUGCCCAAAAGGACAAGACAUCGGCUUCUUGUUCUUCACCCACUCUGCCAAGCCGAUGACCGGCUCUUCAUCAAAAUCUGAGCUUGCUGCCUCGUCAACAAAUGACACCUUUUUGUUCCAAGCUCUCUUGGGUUCAAAGGGUUUGAUAUCCUGGUUGGAAAUCCUCUGGACCAAGUGACUCGGGCUCUCGAACUCUUGAGAAGCAUAUUUGUCCCUGAUAUGUGGCAACAAACCCUGGAAAGCCAAAUUGGCUAGCUGCCGAUCGUCCAAAAUCAGACUAUAGCAUUUGUUCUUGACUUCCCGCAACCUCUGCACAAAGCUUUCAACUGAUUCAUCAUUGCGUUGCUUCAAUCUGACCAAAUCGGUAAUCUUCUUUUCAUGGACUCCAGAAAAAAAGUACUUGUGGAACUGCUUCUCCAGAUCGGCUCAAGUAAUCACUGAGUUAGGAGGUAACGAAAUAAACCAGGUGAAAGCCGAUCCAGAUAAAGAUGAUGAAAACAAUCGAACCCUCAAUUCAUCCCUGUUAGCAGCUUCCCCACAUUGGAUGAUGAACCUGUUGACAUGCUCCAUGGUUGACGUAUCAUCCUGUCCAGAAAAUUUAGUGAAAUCUGGUACCUUGUACCGAUUUGGAAGUGGAAUCAAAUCGUAUGCACGAGGAUACGGUGUGUGAUAAGAGUAAGUGUUGACUUUGGGUUUUAUCCCAAAUUGGUCUCUCAUUACUUCAGCAAUCUUAUCGGCCCAAUAAGCAUCGGCAUCUUGCCGAUGAGGUGGUUGCGGAUCUGGCACUUGCUGAUACACUUCCACGUGUCUAUGCGGUGCACAAUCUGCAUGGAACAUUGGGUUAAUCAUUUGACCACCAAUCUGCUAACCACCAAUCUGUUGUCCAAGAUUCAUCGGCUGAUUAACCAUCCCUUGAUUAUGGAACCCAGGUUGGAUCUGGCCUUGUUGAAACCCUGUAGCCUGAUGAUUCUGUUGGGGCAUUUGUGGAAAGACUUGCUGCCCAGGCCAUCCAUUAUUAGCAUUCAUCGGCAUAGGUCCUGCCGAUGACUGGUAAUUGGGCAUCAUCAUUGAAUUGACAUACCCUGGCUGAGUCAUAAACCUCUUUUGCGUCGGCAUUGAAUCUGCCGAUGCAUUAGGCAUCUGGAAUGUUGGAGCUUGAGAAUUCCCAGUGUAAGGUCUAGCAGUAGUAGUUGUAGUAUACUGGGGACUCUGAUUCAUCGGCAUAUCUGGAGGCGCCGAUGCCAUAGGAGCCUUGCCUCUCAUAUCAGCCAUUUGAGAUGUUCCAGGUGUCUUCAACAUCAUCUCUGGGGGCAUACCAUAACCCCACCAGUUGGGAGGAACCGAUCCCGACAUUGCCGAUGCCAACAGAUCUGUGGCAAGCUUGAUUUGCUCAUCUGAAGUUGAUGGAUUGGUUGUCAUCGGCAUAGAUUGCACAUCGGUGUGUCCUAAUGUGCUUGGUGGAGCAGUAGUUUCUGUGCCCGCAGCGGCUGUUGUAGCCAAUGGAGCUGUGACAACUGGUGACCCCGGCUGAUGAUGAGAAGGACCCACAUAAUUUGGUGGCAAUUGUCCUUCUUUGAAAGUUCUAGCCACGGCGUUGAAAACCGUAUUGGACAGCACACCGGCUUGAUUGAUCAAGGCACGGUUAAUAGCACUAUCAACCAUGUCUUGAAGUUUACCAGGAUUGGCUUCAAAAGUAAUCUGCCGAGGCAUCGACAGUGCUUUCUUCUGGAUCACCUCGCCACUCCUGUUUAUGUUGAAGGAUUUCAAACAUUGCUGCUUGUAAUCCUCCAUGGCUUUUGCAAUAGCUUGCUUCUGCUCAUCUUUGAGAUUAGCUUCCGUCACGGGGAUGACAUUAUCCAAGUCGAAAUCGCUAGUCACCAUGUCGAUCUUGAUCUUGAAUCUUAUCCCAUCGAGCGUGCCAAAAGAUGUGUUGGUGCAAAAGUAAAUCUGCAAACACAAAGGGCUAAUACCCGAUUCAAACGUUAAGGCGUGCCAGCCGAUUUGACCUUACUAUCGGCAAAGGUGAUAACUCGAGUACUUUGGUCCCGACAACAGCGAUGCGCCCGGAUGUCACGGGCAAGAGGUAUUCACACGGAACUCGAGAAUACGCUGAGCUUAAGUCGACGAACUCCUAAGAACUCGUAAUGAAAAGGAAAAUAUGGCGAAGUCGUCGAAAAAGUAGAUGCUGGAAUAUGAGUAAAAACUUGUGUUUGAUUGAUUGAUAGAUAUCUCAUUACAAGGCCCUAGGGUCUACAUUUAUACCCUGCUCAAAGAGCUACAAUCAGACAUGACUAGGACUCGAAUUCCAAAUUGAACGGAAUCCGUAUACAAAACGAAUUUAAAUAUCUAUGGAAAACAUAAAACUAUCCUCCCGUGACAAACCGGGACACCACCGUAGAUCAAUCGGCAACCCUCACGUUCUCCUUCCGAGUCAUCAGCAGACUUCUCAUCAUAGACAUUGGCAAAGACUAACGCUGACCAUCGGCACGAAUGCGUCACCACUUCUGGACUUAGUCACAUUCAGCUGUCUCUUCAUCGGCAACCACCCUCAUCGGCAACUCCCCGGCAGACCAGUUACUGUUGCCCCAUCUUGCCGAUCUAUACUUUACCGAUCCCUGGGUACGUGUCCAAAAACGGUGUCAACCCAGGGGUUGCGUUCGGAGGGGGAGUUGCGUUCUACCGCUCAGAGGGUCCUACGCCACCUUGGGCAUCAGGGGCUUCUCCCUCAACCUCGAGGUUUGUUGACAGUCUUUAAUGCUCACAUUUAACCAUCAACUAAUCAUGGAAAAGGACCUAUAUGCAACCAACAUCUAAAAUUAGGGUUUCAUCUGACAGAAUUCCACGAGUUUUGGUGUUUGUCUAUUUCUGUAGGGGGUUAUCAGGAAAUAUGGAGGAAAGGUCCAAACGUCGGGUUUACAUAGAGAUAUUAACGUGCCGCGCAAUUUUUUAUCAUCUAGAAGACUCUAGAAGCCACGGGAACGAAGCGGAGGCAGAACGGGGCAUGGCCCAGGGCACCCGCCCUAAGGACCAGGGCGCCCGCCCUCCUGUAGUGCCCAAUCAGGGUCAACUUCGUGGAUCGUGCUCCACUGACCUAAGGGAUCAAGGAAAACCGUGCGAUUAAUGUCGGUUUGAUCCGACGGCCCAGAUUCACUUGAGGGGACUAUAUAAGCAGACCCCCUACCCCCUGGAGAACAUACCUCUUCUACAGAAUCAAAGCUAGGGUUUCAAUUAUUCAUCCAAGUAGAGAGGAUCCCUCUAGUUCAUCUAGUUCUAGUUCUAGUUCCUCUAGUUCUAGUUAGUUCUAGUUGUAAUCUAGAAAAUAGAGAAAGAGAAGAGGAGAGCGGAGGAGGAGCCGGAUCUGUCGGAUCUUCCUCAACAAUGUACUUUUGCAGCAACUGGUUCGUUCUUCAUCGUUCUCUAGGUUCUUCAAUUCAUAAUUACUGAGUUUUUAAUUACUUUUAUUUACAUUCAAGUUAUUUAUUAGAUUCCCGCUUGCAUCAAGUGCUCUAGUCUUUGCAAUGCUAGAGUAGUAUUUAAUAGAUUAGACGUGGUGUUUAGUCUUGUAAUUACCUGGAAUUGCAUCCAAUCCUGCGGAUUGUUGUGGUAGCCCGAGGGUAGUGACAGCCCUAACGGUCGACGUAUUCCACCUUGUUCGGAUUGGUGUUUAUAGGACCGUAGUCAGAGCUUCCUAGCCCCCUUCUCAUCUCUUUCUGUGGUUAGUGUUCUGAUGUCCCAAAAUAAAUAAUCUUUGAAGUAAUUCUUGAUUCUUAGAUCAACUAGAGAACUCUCAGGAAACUUCCUCUCUUCCCACCAAAAAUAAUUAUAUAGUUAUCCUUGGGCGAUCUUGAAUCUUAAUUAGUACACUCACAUUCCCUGUGGAAAAUCGAUACUCUGGAAUACUCCAGGGUGAAGGCUACAUCGGUAUCCGUGCGCUUGCGGAUUUUUCUGUUUGCGUUUAAAAUACCCAACAAGGUUGAAGCACUCUCAUGACGGAUUGUAGCUGCCAUCAUCAGAGUCAGAGUAGCUGAGGCAAUAGUUGCUUGCCUCAAGGAAGCGCAUGAAAGUCUCCAGGACGCCAAAACCUGACAAGUUAGCGCCGGCCCAUUCGUCCUCUCCCAAGGUGGGAUCCUUGGGGUACGACGAAAUGGGUGGUGUGGCGAUAAGGUCCAGCGUAGACCUUAAGUGGUGCCCCAAAAGGUCCACGUAUGCACAUAGUGAAGUGCUUGCGGAAGAGGCAUAGGUGGCAGCUGCGCUCCUGAGCCCGAAAGGGAGCUCGAAAGACGCAACUGCGGGCUCUCCUGUCGUAGCUUUGGGCGAUGUGGGAGGGUGCUGAGAAGUCGAAGCCCCUAGGUCCCCAUUUUGAGGAGGAGGUGGUUGCCGCCCUUUGCCUUUUGACUGUGGCGGAACAGGGGGUCGUGAUGUCCCCCUGUUGGUCCGUGGAGCAGAGCUUGAUGCUCCAUGGGCCCUACCCCUGGUGCCACGUGGGCCAGAGGAAUGGGGAUCCGAUGAGGAAUGUGCGGGGGGAGUGCCAGAUGAGUCCUGGCUUCGGCAACAGGGGCAGAGAUCCUGGACCUCUGACGCCCACGCCAGGCUCCCCCUUCAUGGUGUCCCGAGCGCCUCCCACGCACUGGCUAUGGUGGGAUUGGCUCGGGACGAGGAUCGGUGUCGUCAUGAGGUGGGAGAAGGACCAUGUCAUAGUCGGAGCCGAGAGACAUGAACUCCAAACUCCCAAACAUCAUGAUGGUGCCGAGGUGAAGUGGGUGAAAUCCGUCUAGCAUCCGGGCUUUCCCUUAUAGGGAAAGGAGAGUGUCACGCAGAAGGCCCCUACCUGGCGCGCCAACUGUCAGUGUCUAUACUCAGGGUCCAAGCACUAACAAGUAAUAAGUCUGCAUGUCCUCCUAAACCCGAAUGGUGAUGCAAGGGAACACAGGGGAUUUAUACUGGUUCGGGCUUCGAAUGCCCUACGUCUAAUGAGGGGAUCAAAGUCUCUAUUGCCUUGCACCUGAGAGUGCUUGUAGUAGGGGUGUACAAGCUGGUUGCAAGAGAUGACUAAGUCCCAAGUCUCGACUUUAGGGAGUAAAUGGAGGGGAGUGCACUACUUGGGUGAAGAGUGUUGUUUGUGAUCUAUGUGUGUUGCGUUGUCUUUGAUAGGUGCCCUGCCUCCCCUUUUAUAGCCACAAGGGGUGAUAGGGUUUUUACUUGUGUAAGGUUGUGAAUUAUCUUUGGUGAGUGUGGUAGUGACAGUGCAGGUCCUGUGGAGAUCGGCCACUUCGUCCUUUGGGUAUGGCUUGACGGCGUGGUCACUCCAGUGGAGGGUCACCGAGCCCUGUUGAAGUUGUGGUGGUCGGGUCGGUGACACUGCAGUGUGUCCUACAAUAGUAAGGUAAUGACAGUCUAGAUGUGGUCACAGUGGCAGGGGUUAACCCUCCCCAUACAUCCUUUUACUAUAAGGCAAUGCCCCACAGUGAAAGAGGUAAGGUUCCACAGUGACUGGAGUUGUUGAAAUAGUAGCUGGCAUGCCCUGCUGCAGCAUGGGAGGCAUGGUGCGCGUCACAUCGGAGGUACGACCAUCGUGUGGUGAAAGCCUGACUCUAAGGCCGAGGCUCGGGCGAAGCGUAGAUUGCGCUCGAUGUUGAGGUUUUGGUAAAGGCGAAGAUCUCAUCCGAGACUCAGAGCUUGGGCGAGACAGAUCUUGCGUCCGAGGCCAGGGGGUCGGGCGAGAUGGAGCUUGCAUCCGAGCCCAGGGGGGUCGGGCGAGACGGAGCUUGCGCUCGGGCCUAGGAGGUCGGGCAUGACGGAGCUUGCGCUCAAGCCUGAAGGGGUUGGGCACUCGUCCUACUUCUUUUUGCCGCUUUUUAUCCCCUUAAUAUGGGUAUCCCCUUUUACGGUACCCAACAAAUUAAAAUCAAAUUAUUAGGUGUUACAAAUUCUACCCCCCUUAAAAGAAUCUCAUCCUCGAGAUUGAGCAUGCUUACUCAAACAACUAUGGAUAUGAUUUUCUCAGAUCAUCUUCUCUUUCCCAAGUUGCCUCUACUUCCGAAUGCCGAUUCCAUUGCACUUUGCACAUCUUAAUAAUCCGACUUCUAGUGACUCUCUCAAUGGUCUCCAAUAUUUUAACCGAGUAUUAUUCAUAAGUGAGAUCACCUUUAAUAGAAAGCUCUUCUAAUGGUAUUUGCUCCUUAGGUAUGUUGACACUUGCUAACACCACUUGUAUACUAAGUUGUCAUCCCCAGCAUGGCACUAGAGUGUACUAUGGUAUUUAUACGCACACAGAUAAUCCGCAAGCGCACAGAUACCGUUGAAGCUUUUACUCGGUUAAAGGUUUUAUCGUAUCCACAGGGAAACGAGAGAACUAAUCUACGCUCUAACUUAACCAAGAUAAGUAAAUAAGUGUAAAUAGGAAAGAUGGUAGAAUCGAAUAAGAGCAAUAUUAAAGGUAAGAUAACAGUGAGUGAUAAUAUGGGAAUAGAGAAUAGAGCAAUUCUAGUAUAUGGGCGAUGGUAGCAGAAUAGAGAGAAUAACUAUGGUUUCUCUACUUCAAAGGGGUAUGUCUAUGUCUGGGACGAACCACGUGAUAAGAGUACACCACAAAGGAUGCUUAUCCUUAGGCCGAUAAACCCUACCCGUCCUGCUAACGAGAGGUGGACUACAGAAGACCAACGUAACUGUCACCUACGCGGCCUACCAUACGAUCCAGCUAGACAGGGGAUAUCCACAAGUAAUCUAGGUCUAAGCACCACGCUUACACCUAUACUACAACUCUAACCUAUAGCGUCCUAUAGAUUAAAUUACUCAAAAGAGUUGUGAACCAGAACAUACAUAAUUAGUAAUUGCAUAAUGAAUUAGAAGUAGAUUACCAGAGUCAUCCCAUGAGCAAGCUUGAUUAGAGCUUGAUCAUGACGAAGUACAACCGGAGGAAGAACCGACAGGCCGGCCUCUCCUCUAAUCCUCCUUCGCUCUCCAUCUUGCUACUAUCUAGAUCUACUCUAGUUUAGAGAAGAGAAGAGAGCUCUCAUCUCUAAACCCUAGCUUUUGCUCUGUCUAUGAAUAAUGAAUAAUGAUCAAGGGGUGCCUCCUCCAGGGGCCAGGGGGUCUGGUUUUAUAGUCCCCUCAAGUGAACCUGGGCCGUCAGAUCAAACCGACAUAGAUUGAAUGGUUAUCCUUGAUCCUUUAGGUCGGUGGAGAUCUCUCGAGAAACAGAGUCCUGAUUGGACUCCAAGUCAGGGCGGGCGCCCAGGGCAGGAGGGCGGGCGCCCUACCUCUGGCCCCGUUCGGCCUCCGCUUUCUUCCCGUGGCUUCUGGAGUCUUCUAGAUGUAAGAUAAUUGCGCGGCAUGUUAAUAUGUCUAUGUAAUCCCGACGUGUGGGCCUUUCUUCCGUAUUUCCUGAUAACCCCCUGCAGAAAUAGACAAACACCAAAACUCGUGGAAUUCUGUCAGAUAAAACCCAAAGUCUAGAUGUUGAUUUCAUUUGGAUCCUUUUCUUUGUUUAUUUGAUAAUUAAAUUUGAUACUUAAGGACCGUCAACAAACUCCCCCAAGCUUACCUCUUGCUCGUCCCUAAGCAAGGAUAGACUCAGCAAUGGAUCAUAAGUUGUUGCAAUAUCUUAAAAAUUUGACGGUACACAUGCUUUUAAAUAAGAUCUCAUCUCUGAGUUAGAGUAAACUGUCAAGAACUAAAACUUACUUACUUUACCUUUCACCAUGGGACUUGUAACCGUCACUUCUGUCUUGAGUAGUUAAAAGAUAGAACAGUCUAGCCAAGUGUCAUGUCUCUUAUUCUUAAUCAGCUAUAGCUCUGGAGUUUUUGUAGAUUUUCAAAUAAAACUCAGAGAUUCCUUGUAUGACUCUCUAAAUCUCUCUUUUGUGGUAUUUCUGGAUCCUUACCAAGGCAGUGAUGGUAUAUGCCUUCUCUCAAGAUAUGUGGUAUUUGUGGUAUAAGGCAUAGUGACAUUGCCUUCUCUCUCACCCUACUCUAAUAAGGCUUUAAUAUCUGGAGUUCAUAGGUGGGAGAUAAAGUAUACAUACUUACAAGACAUUUAUUGUAUAGUCAAACCAUGGAUCUAAAGAAACAAAUCAAUAAGCCAAAUCAAGAUGUGCAUGUGUGGCGAAUGAAUGGUGUAUGGUGAUGAUGGUGAUAACAAUGGUGAAAGUCUAAUUCUACUUUUGCUCUUUUGAGGGGAUACAUACCUUCCUUGCUUUUUGAAACUUUAUGAGGAGAAUGAGAUGCUCUAUCUUUCAUUUUUCUUUCCUCUCAGGUGGGUAUCCUAUACCCCUAAUUCUACUGUCAGACACUUGUCCAUUUUUACCUCUCGUCUCACUCUUUUUUCUUUUCUUUCGAGGUUCCGGGCACUUGCCCCUUUUUAUUUCCUCAUUUAUUUAUUUUUUUUCUUUUCUUCUCUUUUCUUUUUUUUCAGAACACUCAUCUCUUGAGAUAAUAUAGCAAGUGGUAGUAGCAAGAUAACUUGAGCAUUUAUUUCACAAGAGAAAACAGAAAUAUUUUUAGCUAUUCUCUCCCGGAUUAGGAGUAGAAUAUUUUUGGGUGGUUCUGGAGAUGGACAUGGAUGGAUAUAUGUGGAUGGUACUUCUGGAGUAGAAGUAGCAUAUAUGAGUGAACGUGCAAGUGAAUCUUGAUUUAACCACAUGACAAGCUCCUAAGGGUCUACACAGCUUGACCACACUUAAUGCUCAUAAGCAGUAAAUAGUAAAUGUGUGGCUCAAAGUCUAGCAAGCAUGUAUAUAUGGCUGUGGUAGGAAUUUAAACUCUCAUCAUGCAGGAACUCGUCAUGCAAUAUUUUAAAGAUUUUUCAAAGAUAAAAUUCUCUAGAAUUCUAGCAUCUCUAGGAACAGAUAAACAGCAGCUCAACCUUCCCAUAUCAUAUCCGUUAACAACUUAGAUUUCAGAUCAAGUUUUCAUCCCACAAGUUUAGAUCUAGAGCAAGCUUUAAAUUAUAACAGUUAUGUCUAAACUUGAGAGAGAACUUCAAAUUUGCAAAUUAGGCAGAGCAACUAUUCAUCAUAUCCAUGCUAGAGUUUUAUUAUUAAGAUUCAGAUUAGCAUAGCCACUUUAUUUAUUUAUUAAACACACUAAGCAAAAGAUAUAUAUAAGUACAAAAUCUUUAUUUGGUUUUUCAUAGUUUAUGUAUUUUAAUAUUCUAAUAUAAUAUAAGUAUAAAGAUAGAUAGAAAUACUUAGCGAGAUAAAUGGGGGUGCUCUCCCCCAAGCUGAAUUUUUGACGUAAUUUCUCUUGAUGUAGCUAGCAGGUGGCAGAGGUGUAUUUGAAAGUCAGCAGCAUUCUGACAGCGAUUAGAAUGUCCUCCGUCUGCUAGUCUUCUUGAUUCUUAAAUUCUGUGGAGCUCAAAUAGACAACAAAGCUUGUGGAACUAAUUAAGUGUUAGCAUAAAUAUCUAGCCUUCAUCAUGUUGAGCUUCCUCAAUAAAUAUUACUCCUUAUUUUUAUAUUUUUAUUUUAUAAAGUAGAAAAGAAAUAUUUAUUUUAUUUUUAUGCCACCACAGUGAAGGUAUUUAUGGAUUUUAUGCCACUCGUAUACUCAUAUGGGGCUUAGUAUUUUUUAACAUUUUUAUUUUCUUUUCAAGAUAGCAUGAUUUAACUAAUAAUCUAUUUAAGGAAAGUAAAUAAUUAAAGGGAAAAGGGAAUGCAGAAAGGAUAAAUAUGGAUAACUACCGAUCUUACCUUUCGGCGAGGGUUCAAUGUUUUAAGUCUUCUUAACAAGACUUCUCACAGUGUUCAUUCUUCAGGUGCGUCAUUUGAUUCAGGUGCGGACCUUGACGUCUGCACUUCUUUGUUUGCCCAGCAGUUCGAAGUGCGGCGUUUGCAGUAUCCUGCUCACUGUGUUUGUGCUCGUAGAUCCAGGUCCUUCACUUGGUAGAGUCUGAGAGUUAUAAAACUCCUCCGUGUUUUGCUCGAAGUGUACCUGCUCAUAGAGACAAGGCAGAGAUCAAGUGUAUGGGUCCUGUUGGUGGAAAACACCAACAGAACCUAAAGUGUAUUUGUUCUUCUCUAACCCUAAGCAUAGUGAGCAAGACAAAGUUGAUGGAUGAAAAGUUCAUGAGUGUAGCACUUAUAACAUUUGUCAGAUCAGAUCGCUCAACCUUAUGGAAGAUAAUCUAUCUAUGUAUAUGUCUCUUUUUUUAUAUCUCUCAAUGAUUGAAUGUGUAACAUUUUAGCUCAUAUGAUUAGGAGUGUGGGAUCAUGGAGGUAGUACUAAGAACAAGGAUUAAAGGACUAAACAUGUUGAAUCAGUUGGGUUGGUUAAUCUAGAGUUGUAAAUCAUAC